UGUUAUUGGUAGAGAGGGUCUGAGUGGGGAGGGAACCUAGCUGUUAUUGGUAGAGAGGGUCUGAGUGGAGGAGGGAACCUAGCUGUUAUUGGUAGAGAGGGUCUGAGUGGAGGAGGGAACCUAGCUGUUAUUGGUAGAGAGGGUCUGAGUGGGGAGGGAACCUAGCUGUUAUUGGUAGAGAGGGUCUGAGUGGGGAGGGAACCUAGCUGUUAUUGGUAGAGAGGGUCUGAGUGGGGAGGGAACCUAGCUGUUAUUGGUAGAGAGGGUCUGAGUGGGGAGGGAACCUAGCUGUUAUUGGUAGAGAGGGUCUGAGUGGAGGAGGGAACCUAGCUGUUAUUGGUAGAGAGGUUCUGAGUGGGGAGGGAACCUAGCUGUUAUUGGUAGAGAGGGUCUGAGUGGAGGAGGGAACCUAGCUGUUAUUGGUAGAGAGGGUCUGAGUGGAGGAGGGAACCUAGCUGUUAUUGGUAGAGAGGGUCUGAGUGGAGGAGGGAACCUAGCUGUUAUUGGUAGAGAGGGUCUGAGUGGGGAGGGAACCUAGCUGUUAUUGGUAGAGAGGGUCUGAGUGGAGGAGGGAACCUAGCUGUUAUUGGUAGAGAGGUUCUGAGUGGAGGAGGGAACCUAGCUGUUAUUGGUAGAGAGGGUCUGAGUGGAGGAGGGAACCUAGCUGUUAUUGGUAGAGAGGGUCUGAGUGGAGGAGGGAACCUAGCUGUUAUUGGUAGAGAGGGUCUGAGUGGGGAGGGAACCUAGCU